rnacentral:lncRNA from 1 species
UGUUAGUUUCAAAUUUGUGAACAAAAGAAUUUGCUUCGAAAUUAAGCUAACUGGUUUUUGGGAUAAUUUAACUAUUAUAUUUGAUUAAGUAUAUUAGGUUAGAAGUUGUUGAUUAAUUUGGAUUUUAUGAUUAAUUGAUUGGAUUUUAUGAUUAAUGACAGUGCGGUUGUCGAAGCCGGUCAAAAAUAACCUUCUUGGUUAUCAACAAUUUACAACUGCAGAUAGUGGUGAAGGAUCGAAUCCACAGAGAAUUGAUUACCUAUUUAUUUUUCUCAAUCAAGACCGAGAGAACUAAUGGAAAACACAAGAGAAAGCAAGUAAAUCAAAAGUUGAAUGAAAGUAAAGUGCAAUAAAAGUAAAAAGGGGGGUUUUGAGAUUGAUUUGUCUAACAACUAUUGAAAGCAAUUAAAACAGCAAGUAAUCAAAAUAAAAGAGGAAAUCAAUAUGAGAAAAGUCUAGUUGAAGAUAUGGAUCCACUUUGGUUGUUUGGGGUUGAUCAUUGAAACUUAGGUUAUCUUGAUUGAUUCAAUAGAUUAGUUAUGGGGGUGGAAAACGCUUCUCACCACCAUGUCUCUCCUUAUGAUUAAAUCAAUUAGGGAACGUCCUCUAAUCAAUUACUAAUUAACAAAUUGCCAAGGAACGUCCUUGGGCCUUAGGCAUCAAAACAAUUGUCAAUUGCAUAAAGAAUGAGAGAGAUCUAACCCUAGCUACUCAAACGCAUGAGAUGUUGCUAGAUCAUGCAAUUCCCUAGUUUUUACACCAAGUGUUCUUACGUCAGAAUAUUUUCAGCAAUUACGGACUAACAUAUAUCCUAACCAACAAUCAAUUAACUUUGCAAUCAAGAAUCAAGUGGCCAAUUUGAUCAAAACAACAAAGCAAUCUUAGAAUUAAGCACAAUUGCAUGAAUAUUGAAUAAACCAAAAUCAAACACUUUAUGUUCAGAUCUUACAACCUUUUAAACAACCUUAGUUUCAACCAAACUUCAACUAGAAUAAGGGUUUCAGCCAUCAUGGCUGAACCAAAAUAGAAAAUAAAAAAAAAGAAUGCAAGAAGAUGAAGAACUAAGGGAAAGAACCCUUGGAGAAGCCUUGCCAAUUCCUUGGAGGAGAGGUGUAUGAAAUCUACCUCUUCAUGUCUUUUUGAGGCCUUUUAAAUAGAUGUUGAGAGGCUGCCUAGGGUUUCUUGGGUGUCCAUGCAUCUUUGUAGAGAUUGCCCAAAGUGCCCUUGAGUCUUCUAUGUGUAUGUGUGGAGUUGCAAGCCCUUUUUGGUCUUUUGAUUGAUGCCCAAGUGUGUUCAAGAAGUCUUCUUCACAUUAUUCAUGCACUAAAGAGGAAGGUGGAGCCUUGUUUUGAAUCUUGAAUGUGCAUGGCACUAAGUGGGAAACAUGUGAUCUUCAAGAUUUGGCUUCUUGAAUAAGGAGGAGGCUGUUCGGAGGCACUUUCGGCUGCCUAAGAUGAGUUUCGGAGGCUGGACUUUCGGCUCUGGACGCAAGGUUUGGCGGCCGAAGGUGCCGCCGAAGGUGGGUGACUUUCGCCUCUGGACUGGACUUUCGACUUUCGAAAGUGCUUCCGAAAGUGGGUGAAUUUCAGCUUCCGAAAGUGCUUCCGAAGGUGCUUCCGAAGGUGGUUGAGUUUCGGCUUCCGAAAGUGCUUCCGAAGGUGCUUCCGAAGGUGGUUGAGUUUUUGGCACUUUUUGGCAUUUUUAAGAGCAUUUUCUCCAAAUUGUUCCUUUACACCUAAUAUCUGUAAAACAUGAUUAAAACCACAAAAUUAGGUAGAAUAGGUGCAAAUAAACAUCAAUAAGAUCAUGAUAAUAUGGGCUAAAAUAUGUUCUAUCAAUUAAUUAAAUAUAUUAGGUUCAAAUCAAUUCUUAUUAGGCCCAAAUUAUAGUAUAAUUCAAUGA